rnacentral:rRNA from 1 species
UACGUAGGUGGCGAGCGUUGUCCGGAUUUAUUGGGUUUAAAGGGUCCGUAGGCGGUUUAGUAAGUCAGUGGUGAAAGCCCAUCGCUCAACGGUGGAACGGCCAUUGAUACUGCUAGACUUGAAUUACUAGGAAGUAACUAGAAUAUGUAGUGUAGCGGUGAAAUGCUUAGAGAUUACAUGGAAUACCAAUUGCGAAGGCAGGUUACUACUAGUGGAUUGACGCUGAUGGACGAAAGCGUGGGGAGCGAACAGG